GUCUGGGUGCCUAUAGUGGUCCUUUAAAUGUAAAAAAAAAUUAACUUAUAGUACACACCAAGACUACCCUGUAUUGCAGUAUAUCCAAUUCAUUGUUUGUUGUGACCCUAAACAGAGUAUAUUUAGCACUUAAGGCCUCUUGAUUAUCAUAUACCCCAACCAUAUGGAAUGUUAUAACAUGCCCAUGGGUCAAAAAAAUUUGUAUAUUCCACAGUGGCACAAUUACAGAGGCUGUUCCACUUGUUCAGCUAGAAAACAUUGGAUCUCUCGCCAAUCCGAAAAACCCUACAUACUUAGGAAUAUGUAACUACUUCCACAUUUUUGCCUACGUUUAGAUCUGUUAAUGUUGCUACAAACUAACCAUCAUUUUAGAUCUAAAGUGGGGUUGGGUGGUAUUCCUUAAAUUUCACUUAACUCCUACCCCUAAGGAAUUUGAGUCAACAAUAAAUACAUUUUGAGAAGAUGUAAUCUAUAUUUUAUGGCAAUGUCAGUGUGUCAAGGAGAAAAAAAGUAUCAUGAAGUUUUUCUUCCUCAUCUGUUCAGCAAGAUGCCUGCUUAGCUUUAUGGACUAUGCACAAACUAAACUCUAGCCACUAAAAACGCCUUAAAAUAUGCAGUUCCUAUUUAUUUUACAAAAUGUAGAGAAAAAAAAUUAGAUUAGGGCAUGUUUAAUUUCUAUAGGUUCAUUUUAGUCUUUUUGUAGCUUUAACAAUUACAAGAAAAGAGUAAUAAAGUAAACUUCACUUGUUAAAUUCUUAAUGAUGUAUGGCAUGCCAUUUGGUGGCCUCAUUUUUGAAUCGUAUGUAAUAAGAGAUCCUACCUUGCGUCAAAUGCCACAUUCUAAAAUAUCCAAACGCUUUGGAAAAAUGUAAACUUAUUAUUUUGAGUUGAAAACUAAACCUUUAUUCAAUUCAAAUUCUGCAUUUUAGAAUGCAAUGAUUCAUGUUGUAUUGAUGCAAACAUUGCUAAUCUCACAGUUUUAGACUUAUCCUUCCAUGACUGGACAAACACAAAAAAGGUUAAAAAGUUAGGUUUCCAACUGGAAUCCUCUUCUGGGCCCAUCUUGAAACAUGCCUCUUGUAGACAUUGGGGUGUAUAUGUUGUGCUUUCAAAAAUAUUCAGACCUAUGGCCAUUACUGGAAUCAGAACAGAAAGCAGAAUUAACUAUAUUCCGAUUCUCAUGCACAAUCUUAUUUAACAAUAUACACAGUUGAAAGAAAGUGCCUUAAAGUGGACACAGCUAAUCUACCAUUGGCUUCCCCUUUCUGAAGCAUUAACACCAAUGCAAUAUUUUCAGGAUAACCCCAACUGUUCAAGGAUUAUUGGCCAUUUGGACCUGAGGAAAGACCAAUACCAAAGAGCAUUCUACAGAGGUAACAGUUAUGCAUAGUUGAGCAAAAAAAAGUGCAAAAUAAUGUAAGUAGAUAUCACAAAACAUGUUUUUAAUCCAUAAUUGUGCUCAUAUGAUCCAGACACUACCUUGAAAAUGCUAUCUUUCAAUGUUCAGUGUCUGUGAGUGGAGCAAUGGUGGUACAGUUGACUAUACCAUAAAUGAGGUAUACCUCUGGUCUGUGCAGAGAGCAGGGGAAGAAAGAAACCGUUACUUGAAAAGUACCAUUUGAUAGCCAGUCUGGCGUCUACCAGAAAAGCAUUUUCUGUGCUGAGCAGUGAUGUGAGAGAGGGUUUUUUUUAUUUUUUUAUUUAGGUGACACAAUGAUUUAGGAGCCUUUCCGCCAAACUCACACCAAGUAGUGUGGAAUGAAGACUGCCCACACUACAAACUAUGGUGAAAUGUGUAAUUGUGCUUUGGGUACCUCCACUGAGGUGUAUAAAUAGACUGAAAUACAGAAUAUUAUGCAAGAGAACUGGACGCAGUACACAAAGAGCUAGUACUGUUAUUCCAAGAAUAAUAAAGGUGAAUGUCCUACUGUGGUUUAGUGAAGUCUAGAUCUCAAUUUCUCCUUUGCUUAUAGAUCACCGUUUUUCGAUAGUGCUGGAAAUCCACAAAGUAUUUGAGGAAAUAUGAGCAGGUCAAAUGGACCGAAUUCAUCUUCCACUGGCCCAAGUUUUUAUAUUCACCCAAGCCGAAAAAGCUGUGACUGAUUGCUCAAAAAAUGUUAGUUCUUCCUAUGUCUGUGAUAGACGUGUUGAAAUAUUGAGAAAAUUCUGAGCAUUGAUUAUGACUCUGUAUACUUUUGCAAAGUGUGUUUAGCAGUGAUCAUCUCCUGCUGUUUCCAAUUGCACUCUGUAAUGUAUACGUAGUAAAUAGACUGUUGUAGUCACUUUUCCUUGAAAACAGGAGUGCAGUAUAAUUUAUCAAGGUGCAUAAGUGUUAGACGCUGGUGCACAAUAGAAAGCAAAUGUUUCUGCUAUAAAUUCUUUUGUCGCCAACAGUCUGCCUUAAAUCAGAUUAAAGAAAAUCUUGCUUGUGUGUAAAUGAACUUUGUUUUAUUUUGGAAGCAUGAAGCAAUUAGAAUUCAGAAUCAAAGUCAGAUAAACCCUUCUGCUCAGUAACAGACUAUUCAACAUUUUUCGAUUUAAAAUGUAGGCAACCUCUGCAGCAUGUCACUACAAUGCCUAAAUAUGGGACCAAAGAAAAACCUUCUGUGCUGGAAGCAUUUUAGAAAUAAAGGAGUAUGCUGAAGUACAUUCUAAAAAGGUCUGAGACAUUGGAUUUAAAACACUACAUCCCGUAUGACACGUUGCCUACCUUUUUGGUGUUACAACUGCCAGAUCGUCAUGGGAAAAAUUUUCCACAGCUGGAAUGCUAAUGGGUUGUUUUACCUGUAUUGAGCAAGAGCAGAUUUCUCCUCUAUGGAACAAUGUAAAGAAUAUGACUAAUUAUAAAAGUUAAAGAAAAGCUUUCUUGUGGGUGAAACAGUCAUGUAAUAGUAGCUGAAAAUGACUUCCAAUUUUUUUUUCCUACUAAUAUAAAACUGACUUUUUUCUAAAAUUGCUAGAUUGUAUUGCAGUGCUGGAUUUACGUCUUGAUAUCCCAUAAGUUUAAAAAAAAUAAAAAUCUGUAUCAUAUCUGUAGAAUAUGGGCAGACCGUGCAGCAUAGUCGAAAAUGGAAAAGGGUUUUGACAACCGCUCACAUCCAUGUAAGCAGCACCCUAAAUUGGUUCUCUAGCAAAUGCCUAGAAUGCCACCCCGACCAAAAAAAAGUUUCGUAUAAUACUCUUGUUGACUGUGUUGGAGUUUCACUAAAUGCCAAACCAGUCAGAAGAUAUACUGAGACAAAAUGGGGACUACUUUAUCUCACCAUUUUUUUUUACGGCUGACACUUCUAGGGCAGUGCUCCCACAGUCUAGAAUUGUCAUUCUCCCUGUUAUCACCAGACAGCUGCAGAUAAAGAGUAAAGCGGAUUGCCCCACCACCACAGACGAUGCCACUAUUGAUGGUCUUUGCAAAUUAUGCAAAGUCCACAGACUGUGACAGUGCAAUUUUAGGUAGCUUUUAAAAUACCAAGUAGAAUUUUAGAAAUCCAUUCACUACUGGAAAACUAGUGGCUUGGUGUGCAUUUAAUACCAUGUUCUGUACAAUCCUUAAAGGGACAUCUCAGCAGCCAUGCAUUUAAUUUUUUUAUUUUUAUUUUCCUUGCAGCUAGGCUGUCAUGUAAGUUGUUUUAUAUAUCUGGUUAUACAUCAGUUAUGGUAUCUGUUUUAUAACCUGGCAAAGGCAAUUUUAUGCAUGGCUUCCAGGGCCGUAACUCCUAGGAUUACCGGACAUUUAAAUGCACAUUGACGUGGUUUUUUGUGGCAAAUGUGCCUUUAAGCAUGUGGGUAAACUUGAACAGCUGCUGUACCACAAUGUGUUUCUAACCAAAUAUGUAGGGACUACUGAUAUAUAUUGCUUUAUUUAAGGGGUAACAAGUUGUCAGACACUGUUUAAAUCUGUGGCCGCUUGCUCUGGUAUUCUGGAUGUUUCAUUUUCCAUAAUGCUUUGCUGGUCUCAUGGAUAAAGUCACUUCCUAGAACUAAUUAAUAUUGUGUUUAACAAAUGUGAAACAUGUUGAAUACCACACCACCUGAAAUUGGGUUCCACUAUCUCCUCGUUUGUCAUUAUUACAGACUGUUAUUUUCACCUACAGAGAAGAGAGAAAAAUGAAACUAUGUUUCAAAUUUUCCUUCUCCUUUGCAAUGCUUGACCGGCUGUGGCCUGGCCUGAUCAGAAUGUUGAUUUCCUUGUCGAAUAUAAAUGUAAAAGAGGGUCGAACAUUACAUGAAAUAAAAGUAAACAAAGGUUAUAGAUUUUCAAUUUUAUUUAUUGAAUCUUGUAAUUUCAUGGGAAAUAGUCUUUGGUGGUUUUUUUUUUUUUUUGUAAUUGUAGUCCUCCCAAAAAUAUAUUACUCUAAUUACGCUUGGCAGAACAUCUGGUAUGUCUAGGCUAGGUUGCUGGUCUAAAUGUCCUCUUUUUUUUCUUAUUUUUUAAUAUAUAUAUAUUAUCCAUUCAUUUAUUGGAUGAAGGUUACUGCUUUUCAUUAUAAGCUGAAAUGAAUGAAUACAAAGUGUUUGGUAGAUCCAUCUUCCCAAAUUUCCAAAUAAUCUGGCAUUUUUUUUUUUAUGUAUCUAAUACUUUUUUGGGGGUUGUAAAUUUUCAGGUUGAAUUCAACUCACAAUGAUGAAUGUUACUGAAGCCAGCUUAUUUGUGAAUUACUUUCUCUGGCUCGUUACACAACUUUCUCGGUUAUGAAAAAUAUGCAUUUUUUAAAAUUUUUAUUUAUUUUUAAAUGACUAUUGGUGUGAAGCUGUCUAGCCCUAGUUAUAUUAAACACUGGUCUGCUAUCCUUUUUAACCUAGCUCACCACCAUAUUUAAAUGGUGGGUGUUUAUUUCGGUUAAAUUUCAAACACUACUUACAUUAUCGUUUACAUGGAAAAGCUAUUUACUGAAUUGUCACACAAUUCCAAGCUCCUGGAAAGAUAGAUGAGCUUGAAGUACACUGUGAAGUGCUGCGUUGAUAGAAUCUGCCCCAAGGGAACCAAAGGGUUGAGUUUGAAUACUAGUGGGGAAAAAAGGGGUUUAAAAAAUAAAUAAAAAUGAAGCUGCUAGGCUUUAUCAACUGUGAAAAAUAGUGUGUAUAUGUAGGCUUUUAAAACAAUGUUUUCCAUAUUAUUCCAGUGCUUUUUCUUUUCAUGGCCUACAUUUUAAAAUCAAAAUGUCAAACCUGAUUUACAAAACCUGGAAGAUUUGUGUAUCAAGAAUAGCCAAGAGAUAGAGCCUCUAGCUGUUGAACUCCCCCCUCAUUUCUGAUCUUUUCUUGCUGCAAGCUGCCAAAGACUUGUGGUUGAUGUAGUUACAGAACAUUUGGAGACCUGCUUCUUGUUUAAAUGGAGUUAAUUUGGGUCUUUGUUGCUUUAAAAUUCAGCAAAUUUUUAUUUAGAAUUUUUCAUGUUCAUGUCCUUAAAACUGUUUAGCAGUAUCUAUGGUGGUAACUUGUAUAUGAAAUUCUUUAGCUUAAGGCUAGAAUUUGACACUAGCCUUGACAUAUGUCUUGCCCAGUAGCAUCACAUUACAUACUAGAUGCUGAAACACCCUCCAUUAAGGUUUCUUUGCAUUGUAAAUUAGACCACAUGAACACAGUUUGCCAGUGCUCUGUAACGAUCACACCAUUCUGAGAAGAGGUUUGUGUUAGACCUGUUACUACUCAAAAAAACCACUUGAAUAUAAUGAUCACAACGAAGUUUGGAGUUGAAUGUUCUAAAUGAAAAUGUAAUACUUUCUAUGUACACUGGCUAAAAGUUAAUGCUAUACUACUGUAACUAAGUGUAAUUUCUGUACGAAUGUUGCUUGUUAGUGUGGGUUGAGUAGACCUGUAUGAGUGAACCCACUGCCGUCACUGGCUGCGCCCUUCAACCUUCUGAAAAGACAAAGCCUUAAGUAUUUGCCUCUUCUUAAGAGUCUUUCAAUGCUUUUAUUUUCCUUGUUUUAUAUUUGCAGACCUAUCAUUUUUAUUCAGUUGUAAUCCUCUAGUUGAUUCCAGUACUUGCACGCAUGGUAAUAGAUACAAGCUACUCUCCCCUCUAUGGACUAUGAAAGUCUUGUAUGGACCCUCACGUCAGACUUUUUGUUUUUAGAGUGUUGAAAGCAGCAUCAUAAUCUGUCUUUUAAAUUUAGGUGGAAUAAGAGAAAUUGCUUCAAUGACCUUGUUCGAAUGGAGAUAUUUUUUGCUGUUUUAGACACCUAACACAAUGUUAGCAGCUGCUAUGUUAACAUUCGUAGAUCAUCAUAGAAGCUAUUAUUGAUCAAAAUGAAGGUCUUCAGACCUACGACAGAUAUAGAAACCAUCUAAAUUCUAGCAUUGCUGCUUUCUUCUCCUUUUGAUUGUAUUAUGUCCUUUAGGCUUCCACCAUGGUUGAUUAGAGCUAGUUGCAAAUCCAGAACCUGCCUUUUAAUGUCUUGAUACCUGAAGGUUCAUCAUAAAAAUCAGCUGAGAUUUGCAACUCAUUUAACAUUAAUCAUUAGUCAUCACACUCUAAAAAAUUAGUGAUCUAAGCAUAGUCACACACUUUAGCAAUGAAGAGAAACUAACUAUGAAGGCCAGUCCUCAAAACCACUUCAAAUUAAAAAUAAGAUUUAAAGCUCAAUUUUUUUUUUUAAUUUUUGUUUUUUAGCAUGUUUUAGAAAGCUUAAAACCUCCUUAAAGGAAAUGUUCACAAGCUUUUGAAGUGGCGUCCCUGGUGGGUACAAAAUGGGGGGAGACAAGAUCUAUAUUAAUGUGUGUCUCAAAACUGAAAAUAAUUGGAGGGUUAUUUGUGGAGAAUUGACUUUAGACUUGCAAAUUGUAGGCCAAAAUAGCAGAGAUGUUUGGGGUUUUUUUUUUUUUUUUUGAGGGGGAGGGGGGAGUUUUGUGUCCCUUUCUCCCCACCCCCAAUUUCCUCCCUUUUAUUUUCUUUUAGAAUCUUUUAUAUUUGUAAUUUUCUUGACAAUUCUCCACAAUUCUGAUAGUGAAACUCUUCAUUUGUGUUUUCUAAGAUUUUAAUUUCCAUUUUUGCUUGAGAGAUUCUAGUUUCGCAAAAAGCAAUGUGGUUCCCUUUAUUUAAUUAGCCUGUUUAAAUUGUGUUUUGUGUCUGCUUCCUCUGUGUCAGCGAUCUGCUCCGUCGAUUGGUCUCUGUCAUGGAAGAGGGUGACAGCAUGUAUAGCACAGUUAGAACACUUUGAACUAAAACACAUGCUGGCUGGUAAUGCCUUAUAUUUAAAGAAAACACAAGAAAUGUGAACACACCUAUGUUCUGCCAAAUAACAUCGAGAUCAUGUUCUAAUUUAUUUCCAUUUUAUUUCCUGUGUCAUAAGUAGUCCCUAUUUCUAGUGCUGGAAAACAGUUGAGACUGAGGCUUUUUCAUGUCAUGCAAUAUUUCCUGAACAUGUUACCUCCUGGAAGCCACGGUUUCUUCCCACUUUCAUUCCAUCCUUUUGCCUGGGCCCUGACUUUUAAAGUGAUAUCCUGCUAUGUUGGAUCCUGUAAGCUGUAUUUUACCAUCCAAAUACAAUUUGCCUCCUCUAAUAAAACAUUGGAUUCCUCGCCUCUCGUCUUGUUGGCGUGCUGCCGAGGUCAACUUGGUUUGUGGUGUGUGCAUUUUAUUUUGUGUUAUAAAUGGCUUCUCAAUGAAAAAUAUUUCUAUAUUCUGAUUUUAGCACAUUCUUUUGUACCUGAUUUUUCACUAUUGUUCCCCACUGUAUAGCUGUCAUCUUUCGAUAAUCAUGUAUUCGGUUCACAGAAAUACAGUGUUAACUAACACACCGUACACAAUAAUUGUGGUUCAACUCUUCAUACAGGUUGGGUUUUUAUUUUCCCGUAAUGCAAAAUUAAAAACUUUGUAGCAAAAUGACAAGAAUUUUUUUACUAAUCAUCUGGACCUAUUAGUACAACUCUGUUUUUGACAGAAGAAAAAGCAAUAUUUAACAGGA